rnacentral:misc_RNA from 1 species
GAUGAAGAACGCAGCGAAAUGCGAUAAGUAAUGUGAAUUGCAGAAUUCAGUGAAUCAUCGAAUCUUUGAACGCACAUUGCGCCCGCCAGUAUUCUGGCGGGCAUACCUGUUCGAGCGUCAUUACAACCCUCAGGCCCCCGGGCCUGGCGUUGGGGAUCGGCGGAGCCCCCCGUGGGCACACGCCGUCCCCCAAAUGCAGUGGCGGUCCCGCCGCAGCUUCCAUCGCGUAGUAGCUAACACCUCGCGACUGGAGAGCGGCGCGGCCACGCCGUAAAACACCCAACUCUUCUGAAGUUGACCUCGAAUCAGGUAGGAAUACCCGCUGAACUUAAGCAUAUCAAUAAGCGGAGGA